UGAACCUUGUGGACACACACAUGUGUACACACUUGUGCACACACUAGCAGUGGUAUAAGGAAACACACAGAGUACUCACAGAGCCCUUGGGAGCUUUCAUUUUUUUUUUAAAAUUGCCAGGAGAUCAAGAGGAGAAACAGCCAACCAGGCAAGAACCAAAUGAAAAGGGUUUGACAUGUAGCAAAUAAGGUUUGAGAUGGAGUCAGGUUCACAAGACAGUCCAAGAAUCAAGGGAAUCAUGGGGACAUCUUGCAUUGAUGUUAAUAGUCACAGAUUCAUCCAGUAGGAAGGACAAUCUGAAGUGUAUCUGUACUGCAUGAAGUACACAUGGAAGUCUCACCUUAUGGGCAAAAAGAGGAGGUGCAGCUGUGCCAUCUGCUUGGUUUUACACCUACGGGCUUUUUCUGAA